AAUCGGACCAAGGAGUCUAGCAUGUGCGCGAGUCAUUGGGAAUAACUAAACCUAAAGGCGCAAUGAAAGUGAAGGUUCGUCUCGCGCGGACCGAGGGAAGACGGGCGUGCACGUCCGCGUGCCGCCCAGCACUCCCGGGGCGUCUCGUUCUCAUUGCGAGAAGAGGCGCACCAAGAGCGUACACGCUGGGACCCGAAAGAUGGUGAACUAUGCCUGGUCAGGACGAAGUCAGGGGAAACCCUGAUGGAGGUCCGUAGCGAUUCUGACGUGCAAAUCGAUCGUCGGAACUGGGUAUAGGGGCGAAAGACUAAUCGAACCAUCUAGUAGCUGGUUCCCUCCGAAGUUUCCCUCAGGAUAGCUGGCGCUCGUCGCCUACGAGUCUCAUCCGGUAAAGCGAAUGAUUAGAGGCAUUGGGGUCGAAACGGCCUCAACCUAUUCUCAAACUUUAAAUGGGUGAGAUCUCCGGCUUGCUCGAACUUAUGAAGCCGCGAGACACGGAUCAGAGUGCCAAGUGGGCCAUUUUUGGUAAGCAGAACUGGCGCUGUGGGAUGAACCAAACGCCGAGUUAAAGCGCCUAAAUCGACGCUUAUGGGAUACCAUGAAAGGCGUUGGUAACUUAAGACAGCAGGACGGUGGCCAUGGAAGUCGGAAUCCG
rnacentral:rRNA from 1 species